UACAGAGGUCUCAAGCGUUGUUCGGAUUCAUUGGGCGUAAAGGGCGCGUAGGCGGGCCAGCCAGUCUGUGGUGAAAGCCUUCAGCUUAACUGGAGAAGUGCCGUGGAUACUGCUGGCCUCGAGGAGGAUAGGGGCAUCUGGAACGGUCGGUGGAGCGGUGAAAUGCGUUGAUAUCGACCGGAACUCCGGUGGCGAAGGCGAGGUGCUGGACCCUUUCUGACGCUGAGGCGCGAAAGCCAGGGGAGCAAACGGG
rnacentral:rRNA from 1 species